ACAAAAGCCAAUGAGUCGCCUCCCUCCCUGGGUCCCUCCCUUUCUCGGGAGGUCUGAGAGAUGCCCAGCGUGGGCUGUGGAUCCGGUCGUGGGAAGCAGGUGCAGGGGCCUGCAGGGCUGAGACCCGCUGAACAUGAGCAGCCUGCCCUGUGUUCAGAGCUGUGGAGAAACAUGUGGACCCGAGACUUUGAUGAGACCCCAAACUCAGAGCUUCCACUGUCUGUCCCCAUGGGACCAAGGGGCACUCAGCCCUCCCCACAAAGGUUGUCAAUAUCUUUACUCAAAAUAGUACCCAGUGUUGGCCCUAAUGCCCCUUGAAAGCAAGGGCUGGGCUGGGAGGGGGAGCACAGGGAAAUGUUCCUGGUUUGACCUUGAAUAAGUGAUUUAACUGCCCUGGGCCUCCUGUAUGGAAUGCAGGGUUGGAUUAUGAUUUCACAGGUCCUGACAUCCUAUUAUUUUGUUUCUGCCUAAAAUAAACAACGAGAAAAAGAGUGUGAGCGAGACUAUGACAGCAGGACCCAUCUGUUUCCGAAAGAGCUUAGGGCAAGCUCUAGAGAGAGAAAGUGAUGUUUCAGCUUGUGCCCCACGCUCAGCUUCCUGCGCCUUGGCCAUCCACAAAGCUAACUUCUAGGAUCUGAGCUGACUCCUCUGGAGACCCCAGACUCCAGUAAUGGGCUUCUGGAACCUGCUCAGGCUGCUAUAAGUCCAAUAACAGCCUGGGCAUGGGGAGGGCUACAACACCCAGCCUGACUAACUGGGAAGCUGAGGAGACUGGAAGUUCGUGAGAGACAGCUUGAGAGUAAGUGGAGAAAGAGAACAGAGCGAAGAAACAUGGCUGGCCUCCCAAACAACUGCAUGAUCUCAGAGAAGACAAAGCUUGUCUUCCUGACUCCAAGACUCAUUUGUAUCCAGCCACUGGACUCUCUAAUUAUCUGCCUUUCCUAUGGGGGAGAUCUACAGUAGGAGGCUGGAUCCCAGGUAGUGAAGGACCUCUAGAAGUAGAAGUUGCUAGUCAGGGGGAUAAAUGACUGAGAUCUGACCAACCAGAAGAAAAGAAAGACUGGAAUUCCUUGCUCCUGGGUCUGUCUGUCUUUUUCUAUGGGUCUCUAUUUAUUUCUUGGGUACUUAACAUGCUCUGCUUUCCACCUCCUAGUUUUCUCAAAGAGACCCAGGCUGGUAAAAUCUGGGCACCCACUGCCACUCUGGACUAGCAUUUCCUGCACGCUGAUGAAUGCCCGCUCCAAAAAGUCUCAGCACAAGGUUGGCCCUGUCUACCAGACCAUCCCCUGCCCAUCCCUGUCUCCCCAAGCUCUAGCCCUCAUCAACAGGGACUCAAAAACCUGCCUCUGUCAAGUGAGUCAUGGGACCAGAACCUUGGGAGAAGACAUGCAGAGCCAGCCACUCAAAAAAUUGUGAAAUAAAAUGAAUUCCCGCCAACCUGCUCCUUCCCUUGGGUUCCUUAAGCUCGGCAGGUUGCACCACCUUCCACCAGUUUUCCAGAAACUAAAAGUCAUCCUUGACACUCAUCCAAUCUGCCACUUCCUAUUUAUCUCCCAAAUUUAUCCCUACAAUCUCACCAUCCCCACUAUCACUUGCCAUCCUGGGGCCUUUUGCAUAUCUUGCCUAAAUUACUGAAAUUUCCUCCCAGCUGGUAAUCCUGGAUUUGUAUGGCCCUUCUUCAUUCCAUCCUCUCCAGUUUAGCCAGAGAUAUAUUUCUAAAAUGCAUAUGUGUGAAAUCAUUUCACUUGCCUGCCUGCAUUUUUCAUUAUCCAUUCACUACCUAUAAGACGAAGUCUGAGUUCACGAGUGAGAAUGCAAAGCUCUCUGUCAGCUCAACCCAGCCUGUCUGCCACCAUUUCCCUGGUCUCCAGCCAGAACAGUGACAGUUCUCUAAACAGGUUCUGCUGGACUUCCAUCAAUAUGGAGUGGUGAAACUGGUGCAGCCACUAUAGAAAAAUGUAUGGUGGUUCCUCAAAAAUUUAAAAAUAGAACUACCAGAUGACCCAAUAAUUCCACCUCUGAGUAUGAUCUUAAGUCAUUAUCUCAAGAAGAUAUCUGUAACCCCAUGUUCAUUGCAGUAUUAUUUACA